rnacentral:rRNA from 1 species
CCUACGGGAGGCAGCAGUGGGGAAUAUUGCGCAAUGGGCGAAAGCCUGACGCAGCGACGCCGCGUGAGGGAUGAAGGUCUUCGGAUCGUAAACCUCUGUCAGCAGGGAAGAACGGUCACUGUGCUAAUCAGCAGUGAAUUGACGGUACCUGCAAAGGAAGCACCGGCUAACUCCGUGCCAGCAGCCGCGGUAAUACGGCGGGUGCGAGCGUUAAUCGGAAUUACUGGGCGUAAAGCGCGCGUAGGCGGUAUGUCAAGUCAAGGGUGAAAUCCCCGCGCUCAACGUGGGAACUGCCUUUGAAACUGGCAAACUGGAGUGUGGGAGAGGAUAGUGGAAGUCCAGGUGUAGGAGUGAAAUGCGUAGAUAUCUGGAGGAACAUCAGUGGCGAAGGCGACUAUCUGGCACAUAACUGACGCUGAGGAGCGAAAGCGUGGGUAGCAAACAGGAUUAGAUACCCGGGUAGUC